GACGAACGCUGGCGGCGUGCCUAAUACAUGCAAGUUGAGCGCUGAAGGUUGGUACUUGUACCGACUGGAUGAGCAGCGAACGGGUGAGUAACGCGUGGGGAAUCUGCCUUUGAGCGGGGGACAACAUUUGGAAACGAAUGCUAAUACCGCAUAAAAACUUUAAACACAAGUUUUAAGUUUGAAAGAUGCAAUUGCAUCACUCAAAGAUGAUCCAGGGUUUUAUUAGCUAGUUGGUGAGGUAAAGGCUCACCAAGGCGAUGAUACAUAGCCGACCUGGGAGGGUGAUCGGCCACAUUGGGACUGAGACACGGCCCAAACUCCUACGGGAGGCAGCAGUAGGGAAUCUUCGGCAAUGGACGAAAGUCUGACCGAGCAACGCCGCGUGAGUGAAGAAGGUUUUCGGAUCGUAAAACUCUGUUGGUAGAGAAGAACGUUGGUGAGAGUGGAAAGCUCAUCAAGUGACGGUAACUACCCAGAAAGGGACGGCUAACUACGUGCCAGCAGCCGCCGUAA
rnacentral:rRNA from 1 species